GAUGAACGCUAGCGGCAGGCUUAAUACAUGCAAGUCGAGGGGCAGCAUGGUUGUAGCAAUACAACUGAUGGCGACCGGCAAACGGGUGCGGAACACGUACGCAAUCUACCCAAAACUAGAUGAAUAGCCCUCCGAAAGGAGGAUUAAUACAUCGUAACAUAAUUGAAUGGCAUCAUUUAAUUAUUAUAGCUCCGGCGGUUUUGGUA
rnacentral:rRNA from 1 species